AUUGAACGCUGGCGGCACGCCUAACACAUGCAAGUCGAGCGGCAGCGAGACUAGUAGCAAUACUAGUUGUCGGCGAGCGGCGGACGGGUGAGUAACACGUAGGAAUCUGCCCUUAAGCGGGGGAUAACCAAGGGAAACUUUGGCUAAUACCGCAUAAUCUCGAGAGAGCAAAGCUGCCCGCAAGGGUGGCACUUGAGGAGGAGCCUGCGUCCGAUUAGCUAGUUGGUGGGGUAAUGGCCUACCAAGGCGAUGAUCGGUAACUGGUCUGAGAGGACGACCAGUCACACUGGGACUGAGACACGGCCCAGACUCCUACGGGAGGCAGCAGUGGGGAAUAUUGGACAAUGGGGGCAACCCUGAUCCAGCGAUGCCGCGUGAGUGAAGAAGGCCUUCGGGUCGUAAAGCUCUUUAGGUUGGGAAGAAGGGUAUUGGCUGAAUAAUCCAGUACUUUGACGUUACCGACAGAAUAAGCACCGGCUAACUUCGUGCCAGCCGCCGCGGUAAAAC
rnacentral:rRNA from 1 species